GGCCAUUUAGCUACAUUCACUUCACGCCACUCACGGCUAAAGAAGUAAGGACCAAAGCGUAGAUCAUCGAGAUUUGUGCUCUCGUCACGCUUUUAAUUUGAACAUUCACGAUCUAACCGGUCAAAAACGAUUUUUUCACAUUCCUCGAUUCUUCCCUUUCUCUUUCUUUCACUAUUCCCACCUAGGUCCCCGGCUUUGGUUGCUUUACGGAUGUAUUUGCUUUCCCUAGCGUAGCGGAUGGAGACUCACCUAUCCUUCUUUUCUUAGUUUAGUAGAGCGUCUUGUCCCCUCUCCUAGCUCAAUUAUAGACUCUACUUGUUUGAUUUGAAAGCUAACCAACCUAUAUUUUAUGUUUAUGGCCCUUAUACCCUUCUAAAUUCUAAAAAUUAGAAAACGAUAUAUAAAUAAAAUAUAUGUUUAGCCUAUUAUCACUUUACUGCAAUUCAUUAAUAGGGUUUACUAAUACAAUUUUAUCCUACUUUCUAACUUUAAUACUGACAAUAAGAAAAUUUAAGCGUCUUUACUUUCUUUUUCUUGUUGGCUUGUCCGAUAAUGAACUUUCAUCCCUUCGUUAACCAUAGAAAUUGUUUACUCGAGUGGAUAGCUUGGCUGUGAUGCACCUUCUCUAUUAGAGUUGGGCUAUCCAGUCACCCGAUGCUCCAAUCGAUCUAGAUCUAGGGAAGGCGAUGAUGAU
rnacentral:misc_RNA from 1 species